CCUGACCCUAGAGGCAUUGGCAGGUGCAGCUGCUGCGUCACAAGGUGGCGUGGCAGAGAGGAGAGCCGCUGGGUCUGUGUUCAGUGUGCUGCCCUACGAACAGCUGAACGGUUGUUAGCCUAACAUC
ensembl:snoRNA